rnacentral:rRNA from 1 species
UAGUAACGGCGAGUGAAGAGGGAAGAGCUCAAAUUUUGAAUCUGGUGUCUUUGUCACCUGAGUUGUAAUCUAGAGAAGUGUUUUCUGCCUCGGACCACGCAUAAAUUCCCUGGAAUGGGGUGUCAAAGAGGGUGAGAAUCCCGUUUGUGGUGUGGACUCCCUUGGCUUUGUGAUACACUCUCAACGAGUCGAGUUGUUUGGGAAUGCAGCUCAAAAUGGGUGGUAAAUUCCAUCUAAAGCUAAAUAUUGGCGAGAGACCGAUAGCGAACAAGUACCGUGAGGGAAAGAUGAAAAGCACUUUGGAAAGAGAGUGAAACAGUACGUGAAAUUGUUGAAAGGGAA